rnacentral:rRNA from 1 species
UAAUACGGAGGGUGCGAGCGUUGUCCGGAAUCACUGGGCGUAAAGGGCGCGUAGGUGGCGGAGCAAGUCAACGGUGAAAGCUCGACGCUCAACGUCGAGUCGGCCGUCGAUACUGCUUUGCUCGAGCACUGUAGAGGCAGAUGGAAUUCCGGGUGUAGCGGUGGAAUGCGUAGAGAUCCGGAAGAACACCGGUGGCGAAGGCGGUCUGCUGGGCAGUAGCUGACACUGAGGCGCGACAGCGUGGGGAGCAAACAGGAUUAGAUACCCUGGUAGUCCACGCCGUAAACGAUGGGCACUAGAUGCUUGGGGGAGCGACCCCCUGAGUGUCGUCGCUAACGCAUUAAGUGCCCCGCCUGGGGAGUACGGCCGCAAGGCUG